GAUGAACGCUGGCGGCGUGCUUAACACAUGCAAGUCGAACGGUGAAGCUCCAGCUUGCUGGAGUGGCUCAGUGGCGAACGUGUGAGUAACACGUGUGAAACCCGCCCCUGACUCUGGGAUAACAGCGGGAAACGGCUGCUAAUUCCGGAUAUGCACCAUGAACGCCUGUUCUGUGGUGGGAAAGAUUUUUCGGUUGGGGAUGUGCUCGCGGCCUAUCAGCUUGUUGGUGAGGUAAUGGCUCACCAAGGCGUCGACGGGUAGCCGGCCUGAGAGGGUGACCGGCCACACUGGGACUGAGACACGGCCCGGACUCCUACGGGAGGCAGCAGUGGGGAAUAUUGCACAAUGGGCGAAAGCCUGAUGCAGCAACGCCGCGUGAGGGAUGACGGCCUUCGGGUUGUAAACCUCUUUUAGCAGGGAAGAAGCGAAAGUGACGGUACCUGCAGAAAAAGCGCCGGCUAACUACGUG
rnacentral:rRNA from 1 species